rnacentral:tRNA from 1 species
AUUAAAGUGACAGAGUAAAUGUGUUGGAUUUAAGCUCCAUUUAUGAAAAAUUCCUUUAAUA